AUACUUACCUGGCAGGGGAGGCACUGUGAGUCACAAAGGUGGUUUUCCCAGGGCAAGGUUUAUCCAUUGCACUCUGAUGUGCUAACCUCUGCAAUUUCUCAAAAUGUGGAAAACCCAGCUGCACAAUUUGUGGUUGUGGGGAACUGUGUCCAAAAUUUCCCCU
ensembl:snRNA U1 U1 spliceosomal RNA